rnacentral:rRNA from 1 species
CCUACGGGUGGCUGCAGUGGGGAAUAUUGCACAAUGGGCGCAAGCCUGAUGCAGCCAUGCCGCGUGUGUGAAGAAGGCCUUCGGGUUGUAAAGCACUUUCAGCGGGGAGGAAGGCGUUAAGGUUAAUAACCUUGUCGAUUGACGUUACCCGCAGAAGAAGCACCGGCUAACUCCGUGCCAGCAGCCGCGGUAAUACGGAGGGUGCAAGCGUUAAUCGGAAUUACUGGGCGUAAAGCGCACGCAGGCGGUCUGUCAAGUCGGAUGUGAAAUCCCCGGGCUCAACCUGGGAACUGCAUUCGAAACUGGCAGGCUAGAGUCUUGUAGAGGGGGGUAGAAUUCCAGGUGUAGCGGUGAAAUGCGUAGAGAUCUGGAGGAAUACCGGUGGCGAAGGCGGCCCCCUGGACAAAGGCUGACGCUCAGGUGCGAAAGCGUGGGGAGCAAACAGGAUUAGAUACCCGGGUAGUC